UACGUAGGUGGCAAGCGUUGUCCGGAUUUACUGGGCGUAAAGAGUGCGCAGGCGGCUGGGCAAGUCCGAUGUGAAAGCUUCCGGCUUAACUGGAAAAUUGCAUCGGAAACUGCUCGGCUUGAAGGUGGGAGAGGGUAGCGGAAUUCCCGGUGUAGUGGUGAAAUGCGUAGAUAUCGGGAGGAACACCAGUGGCGAAGGCGGCUACCUGGCCCACUCUUGACGCUGAGGCGCGAAAGCUAGGGGAGCAAACGGG
rnacentral:rRNA from 1 species